rnacentral:rRNA from 1 species
CGGACGGGUGAGUAAUGUCUGGGAAACUGCCUGAUGGAGGGGGAUAACUACUGGAAACGGUAGCUAAUACCGCAUAACGUCGCAAGACCAAAGAGGGGGACCUUCGGGCCUUUUGCCAUCGGAUGUGCCCAGAUGGGAUUAGCUAGUAGGUGGGGUAACGGCUCACCUAGGCGACGAUCCCUAGCUGGUCUGAGAGGAUGGCCAGCCACACUGGAACUGAGACACGGUCCAG